CUCCGGGAUGGUCACGAUGCUCCCGGCGCCCUCCGAGCUCCCGCCCAUGACCACGUCGUUGAGCGCGCCCCAGACGGCCCGAAAGUUCGCCGCGUCAUUCCCCGACGACGUGAAGUCGUAGAUCGGGACCUCGUUCCGCGAAGAGGCGCCCAGCACCGGGGUUGGCGCCGUGGGUCUGGCCUGCAGCGGCGCUUGACCGAAGUACUCCAUCUCUGUCGCCGCCUGUUUCACCCUGGGGGGCGUCACGGCGGAGAGCACGGGCCCGACGAUGGGAAGCUGCUCGAACCACAACUUGCCGCCAUCGGAAGCCUCG
rnacentral:lncRNA from 1 species